rnacentral:rRNA from 1 species
GACGUAGGGAGCGAGCGUUGUCCGGAAUUACUGGGCGUAAAGAGCUCGUAGGCGGGACCGUAAGUCCGAGAGGAAAUCUCAAGGCUCAACUUUGGGGCUUUCUUGGAUACUGCGGUUCUUGAGGAUGAGAGAGGUAAGUAGAAUUCCCCGGUGUAGCGGUGAAAUGCGUAGAUAUCGGGAGGAAUACCAGUGGCGAAGGCGGCUUACUGGCUCAUUCCUGACGCUGAGGAGCGAAAGCGUGGGGAGCAAACGGG